ensembl:miRNA MIR184 microRNA 184
UCAGUCACGUCCCCUUAUCACUUUUCCAGCCCAGCUUUAUGACUGUAAGUGUUGGACGGAGAACUGAUAAGGGUAGGUGAUUGA